rnacentral:rRNA from 1 species
CCUACGGGUGGCAGCAGUGAGGAAUAUUGGUCAAUGGCCGGAAGGCUGAACCAGCCAUGCCGCGUGAAGGUUAGUGCCCUAUGGGCGCUUAACUUCUUUUUUUCUGGAGCAAUAAUGGCCACGUGUGGCCAGACUAGAUUUCCGUACGAAUAAGCAUCGGCUAACGCCGUUCCAGCAGCCGCGGUAAUACGGGGGUGUCAGGGUUUUCCGGGUUUUUUGGGUUUUAAGGGUGCGUACGCUGUGAGGUUAGUUAGCGGUGUAAUGCCCCCGCUCAAAGGGGUGAAGUGCCAUUGAUACUGCCUUGCUGGAAUGCGGAUGACGUGGGAGGAAUGUGUGGUGUAGCGGUGAAAUGCAUAGAUAUCACACAGAACACCGAUUGCGAAGGCAUCUCACGAAUCCGCGAUUGACGCUGAUGCACGAAAGCGUGGGUAUCAAACAGGAUUAGAUACCCGAGUAGUC